ACCUGCUCUGCACCUACCUAAGCCUGGUAGCAGAAGGAGCACCUCUCUCCAUGGCUGGCGUUGAAGGGUUCCCAUGGUCUCCCAGAAGGCACAAAGAUAGGCUCUUAACUAAAUCAGACUCACCUUAGUUUCGGAGGGUGACGUGCCAGGUCCUGCCAGGAAGGCAAAAGCAGCUCACCCCAGCUGCUCUACCAAGUACCCAACAGAGGGUGAGAUCACAGUGAAUAGGUGCAGUCUAUGAACCUGGAAUCAGGCCCUCACCAGACACUGACUCUGACAGCAUCUUGAUCUUGGGUGUCCCAGUCUCCAGAGCUGUGGGAGGACAAGACCAGACCCAGACCCUCCGCCUUCCCAUUCUUUGCCUCAUAAAUGAUUGACUGAUCUCCUUGUUGCCACUGAUGAAAUGGAACAAAAUACCUGUUAGACAAAGAUUAAGAUUUGGUUACCCUCAGCCAAAGCCUGCAGACAACUCCUCCAGGGAAGAAACUAGCUUCAGCCUCCUUUUGACCACAGAAGAGAACUGAUGACCAGACUGUGGACACAGGGUAGAGGUCUGAAGGGAAGAGAUGGAGAGUGGAUACCAGCAGAGGUGGAGAGAGCUGGCAAAAGAUCUCGCUCCCUGGCGGUCUGAUGGAUCUGGAAAAGCAUUUGCCACAACUCUAUUUUUACCCUGCACAUUUCCACCUACAUGGAUCAAAUGUGUUCCAACUUUCCAGCACUCAGUCUCCCAGUUUACUGCUUGUCAGAAGCACUGACUACUGCCAUCAAUAAUUUACAGCCUUUAAAUGUGGAAGCUCCACUGUUCCUGGAACACACACUUACCUGAUAGUGGUGGAUUUUUAACCAGAGCCCAUAGUAUCAGGUUAAUUAAGUCGUAGUCACUGUUCCACCCUCCAAUUAAUGCCAUUUAAUUCCCAAAUAAAUAUACUGCAAAUUUA